CCUGGCUCAGAUUGAACGCUGGCGGCAUGCCUAACACAUGCAAGUCGAACGGCAGCACGGUCUAGUUUACUAGAUGGGUGGCGAGUGGCGGACGGGUGAGUAAUGCGCAGGAAUAUACCUUAAAGAGGGGGAUAACUUGGGGAAACUCAAGCUAAUACCGCAUAAUCUCUGAGGAGAGAAGCUGGGGACCUUCGGGCCUGGCGCUUUAAGAUUAGCCU
rnacentral:rRNA from 1 species